rnacentral:misc_RNA from 1 species
ACAAUCUCAAGGACAAAAAGAACCUUAAAUUAAAUAUUUACACUUCUCUACUUCACAAGAGAAGAAAUUAGGUCGAGUAAAACAAGAAAGUACAAUUCACCUCUAGAAAUGCAUACUUCGCCACAAAACCUGGUGGCUGGAGCAAUAUGCCUAUGAAAAUCCACAUUUUAGGUUCAACAUUUACAUAGUUCAUACAACCAUGAACAAUUUGAACCAGGGAUCAUAAUUACCUAAAAUAUCCCUUGUUUCAAGCUUCAAGAUUGCUAUUUAGCAAAUGUUGUGUGCCAAAGCUAUA